CUCAGACACUGGAUUUAUGCGUUGCUAAGGGACUUUGGGGGAGCCCCUGGUAUUUGGGGGACGCUUUCAGGCCUGAGGGUUUGGCUGUCCCCCGGAGGUGAAGGACACUCCAGGGAGUGGACAAAUACGCCCCUCCCUCCCACAGCGACUCCCUGGUUUUCCUGAGGGGGCAGCCAGCCAUGAUUCCUUUAAUUAUCCAGGAUUCUCCCAAAUCCUGCCUGUCGGCAGCCUGCCCCGCGCGGUGAGCUGUGAAGGGGACUCACUUCGGGAGGAAGGUUCCGAGGCGGUGGGCCCAGAAUCGGGGUUUUGAGGGCGAGAUGUGUUUAUGUUUUAUCCAACUGGCCCACAAAGUCCCGCUUUUGGGGUCAUGCUCUGCAGCGAGCGGUUCAGGCCCCGGCUGCCACUGGAGGGUGGGGGCCGAGAGCGACACCCCCGGGGCUGCGCGCGUGGAGCGGCUGGAGAGCAGGAGGCUCCCCAUUCUCCCAAAAGUAAAAGGCCGGUGGGCGGGGGCGUGCUGAUCUGCAAGUGUCUUCUCGGUUUGCUGAGCCCGCUGUGAUUUCGAGGGCCUCUCCUUCCCCGGGAGGCCAAAGAGAUACCAGAAGGUGGAAAGCACAAGGUCUCCCCCUGAACCCACCCGCACGGUGGCUUGCUGAGAUGUUGUAGUGGACAGGACCCGCGGGGGAUGAGCGACACGUGGGCUGGCUGUAUUCAAGUGUCUGAAACCCCCUCAAUAAAAUCCCAUGAGCUCAUAAAUCGAAAUGACAUUAGAUUUCAAGGGAGCAGGCUGCUUCUGGCUUCCACCUGGAAUCGCAGUUUUCCUUACAAUUCUUUGCUGACUCUUUGUUGAAGGCAUUUUAUAAAGUGUGCAUCACGUGUUCAGGGGGAGUCUCUAAGGCAAGGUUAGUGGGGAGUAGGAAUGCUCCCCCUCCACCCCAGGACCUGAACAUUAUGAAGUUGUAGUGCUUCUCACUGAAUCUGAUCUCCACUUGCAACCUAUAUAGGCAUCCCUGAAGCCUAAAUUAUUUUUAAUGAAGUGCUCACAGCAGGGAAUAGAAAAUGGAGCUGUCCCUGAACAACUUUUGAACAGCAGAGUCCCCGGGUGGAUGAUGUGUCGAUUUGAUAGACGUGGCACAUGGACACACAGGGGAGGUUUGUGCUGUCCUAGCAAAAAGUUCUUCACUUGCAGAGUUCUUUCUCUUUAUUAUGGGACACGAUGAAACAGCACAAUUUUCAGGAGUCCACAAUUCCAGCGUGGCCCGUCCAUGGGAAAUUGUCACAUUGUGAAUUGUGUUUGUGCUUUGCUGAAUCGCCACCCCGAGCUGACUGUCAAAUCCUAUUUGCUUUGCUAAAUAAGGAUAUCUCACCAAAUUAGCCUUUAAUGAUACGUCUACAAAUAGGGUGUUUUACGUGAAUUAACGAGGCCGGAACACUGAACGUUGCGCCAAGAUACUGAGCUAUAAUUGAGGCGAUGAAGCCGAAUGUUAAAAUUACUGAAUUGUUAAGUGUGGAAAAUCAGACGGAAUUUAGUGCUAAAUGUGAAACGAUUUCUGCUUUAAUGGUGAGCGUUCCCAAAGCACAGGCAUUGCCUAAAUCCAGCCCUCUGAAACCGUGCAUGUAAUUAUGAAUAAUACAUUUAGCAAACUUCCCCCACCCCCUGAGUUUUCAAACAGGAAAAGGAGUGUAGAGAAGAGAUCAUAAAUUAAUAUUUUGCAAGGAGGACUCCUCAUUAAUUCAGCAAAGGACCCUCCCUGAUUUUUAUAUUUUUACUGCCACCCUCCCCCAAUAAUAAUUUUAAAAAUAUCCAACAUGCAACUGUUGAAUAUGCUAAGUACAUUUGAACUUUUCUCCUUUUGCCUCUGUGUGUGUGAAAUUUCAUUAAGUAGUUGCUAUUUCCCCACCCCCAAAGAAGUGCUGAGAUAGAGAACAAAAAUAGCAACUUUGAAUUUAGUUCUUAGCAAUACACCAGGCAUACAGGAAAAAUAUUUUGAUAGAAGGGGGGAAAAAGUAUGGUUUGGGGUAAAAUAGAGACUAGGCUCUAAUAAAAAAAAAAAAAGAUACUUCCUUCAAAAUAAAGCAUGCAUUGAUGGCACAAACCAACUCUAACAUUCAGAACAAGAAAUUCUGAGCUGAUCAACUUAGAGCUUCCGAGGUGGGUAGAUCACCCUCCCUUAAUUUGGACUGUGGCUUAAAAUACAGUUAUUUUAGGCCUGGGGAUAAAAAUUAGUUUAGUGAAAAGUUAAGACAAACUCUGUAUUUGGAGUCAUUUGCCAGAAAAUGUGUGUAUGCCCAAACAAAACAUGGUUGAUCAGAGUUCCUUUAUGCUGGAAUUUUCUGUCUUGCCCACCGAACACAGGAAAAUGUAAAAUUCUUUUUGCUUGUUCGAUUUGGAUUGAGGUGAAAAUAAAUUACAAGCAACAACACGGAUACCCAGGGUGUGACGUAAACAACUUCAGGCUUUCCAGGGAGAGAGUGGAGCUUCCGGGGAGUUGACUUUGGGGUCCCUCUCUCACCCACCUGCCAGACCCAGCCCCCCUCCCGGCCUCAGGUUCUCUUUUCAAAGCAGUCCGUGUUCAGAUGCUGCCUUCUCAAUAUCCCCAGUCGUAUGGGAUGCAGAAAAUAUUUACAACGUUUGAAAACAAAGGUUCUGAUUUUAUAUCCUCUUUCUUAUAUAAAACAUCUUGAGUUUUUGGAACCACAAAGUAAACUAUUGCCCUCGGCGAGUGGCCCCGACUGGGUGUACCGCUGCAUGAGGGAACCCUGGAAGAUGCCAAGGUGUCACCGAAGGCCACUUUUAAAAUGCUUUGGGAGAUGGGAGCCAUGGCAUGUUUAGGCUUUUCUGGAGGACUUGGCCUAGGCAGGGAGAAGAGUCAGUGGCCAGUGCGGGCCUGGUUAGCAGCUCAGCGGGCUGUGGAAGUUUCCUCAGAUGCAUGCAGCGAACUGGGCUCGAUGCUAGACUCCUACUUGAGCUCAGUGCUAGGGCCUGUUGGCAUCUGUGCCCAAGACAGCCUGGACCGCUGCCAGCCCAGGCCCAGACAUGGCCUUGUCGCCAUUACUAGAGCCCAAAAGCCCACACACAACCCAGACAGGUGCCUAAAGCUCCCUCCUCCUAGGACCAAGAUGGCCUCUGGUUCAGCCAUGAGGUGGGCUGCUUGGCUCCCCAGGGCAGCCUCCCCAGAGACUGCAGUAACCUGGUGAUCUGGCGGUCAGUGUGCAGAACCCCACUUUGCUCAUUGCGGAUUUCCAAAUGCUCAGAAACAGAUGGGGUCGCCCCACAGGCCGGGAGCAGAUCCACUGUGAGCACACAGGGCUUCCCCUGUGGACUGGGCCUUGGCAGCCUCUGUCUAGGGCUGCGAUCCUUCUCUCUGGGGUGGGCAGCAUGGCGCAGCCUCCUGGAGCACAUCUAAGUGGCCAUGCAGUUGUUUGCCAUCUUUCUUCAGCCCCAGGAGCCUCCCACCCACCCUGGGACCUGGGCCGACUCCUGUCAUCAGACUGGCAGGCAGAUCCAGGCCAGCAGGGCCAGGACUUGAGCCUGGAAAUGCAGAGAAGGCCCUGGAGGGCCCUGGGAGGACCCAGAAGGAGGGCCAGAUGGACAGAGAAGGGGCUCACAUCUGAGCCACCUUGGGGGUCGGCUGAGGGCGAGGCCAGAGUGGGCCUUCUGGGCUAAAAUCUACAGGGAAAAGGUUUACAGCCCGCCGUGCCUUGGCAUUGAACGUGCCCGCUCCGGGAAGCUGGGGCUCAGCCCUGAGUCAGCCAAAGCCCUGGGACUCCCAUUUGGCCCCGGUAACUGGACUCCAGGCCACCAAAAGGCCUCGUGGGUUCCUGACUGUAUCUUAAGAUGGCAUUAAAAGGUCCCCACCCGGCGCUUGUGGGACAUGCCAUAUUUAGUCUCAGGUUCACCCAGGGAAUAUUUUAGGUGCUGCCUGAAAGGGGAGAUCUGGGCUGGGUUGCGGGCCGUCACAUGGCAGGGAUAGGAUCACUCCCUCUCAGGCCUGGCCCAGAUGCCUGGAGUCUCUGCCAGAGCUUCAGGGCCACGCGGCGGGUGCCAGGGAGCCAGCGAGCACCCCGGGAAUGUGCUGGGAUGGCUUUUCACCCCGUUUUCCUUCUGACGGCGAUAAGGCCACAUCCAUUCACAGAACUGACAGAGGCUGUUUGAGCCCCUCUCUUCUCUGAGAUGGCCCAGUGUGAUAUGCCAGCGAACAGUCUCCUCCUCUCCUCCUCUCGGGUGUCAGCUGCUGGGAGGGGUUAACCCUUUCAGGGCCCUCGGGCCGCUGGCUGGCCUCAGGGACACUUCUCUGCAAAGACCUCUGAGAUCAUUUGUCCCCCAAAUCCCUAAAUCCUCAGAACUUAGUGGCCAGCACAAGAGGAGCACCGCGACCUUGGCAGUGACUUUGCCCUCUCGGCGAUAACCAUCAGGCUUCCCUACCUGAGCCGUCUGGCCUUGGAACUAGCUGCUCACCUUCCAGAUAGUUUCACCUGGGUCCCCAAGCUGAGCGCCUUCCCACGGUGCAGAGGGGGCAUCUUGAUGGAUGUGGUUGGUUGUUGGCGUGGAUCAUCAGUGAGGGUUUGGAAUGAGGGUUUGGAAUGAUCGUUUGGCAUCUGGGAGCAACAUUGCAGAUGGCCCAAGUUUAGGGAAUAAUCCGUGUGACCGUUUCCAGAACCUGCUGUGGGGUCCUCAGGAUAUGGAAGGGGGCGCCUCUGUACUGAAGCUGCGUCGUGGAGUCGCGUGUAGCCCACGAUUGCCACCCUGACACGCUUCCUUCCCCCGCAUUCCCCAGAAGGGCCCACUGUAGAAGCUCACUCUAACCUUGUCCGUUUUCUCCUUUUUAGUCUUGGCUCUUGGUGCUCUAAGAACCAGCGUUUCCUGCCGGCUGGUUGGUUACCGCAGGGAAAAUGAGGGACUUUUGGGGGCAGAUGUGUUUCCAUUCCACUAUCAUAAUGCCCCUAAAAAUCCUUAUUGCUCUUGCAGUAUUCCUCGGGGGUCCCUGGGCCUGGAAGAUGUGCCGAUCUGAGUUCCUCCAGCAGCUCAAAGAGACAGAGGUCUUCCCCAGACUCUGCCAUGGCUCCUCGGGCUCCCUGGGAGCUCUGCCCUCACUGGGCUCAGACUGGUACCACGAGACACAAAAAGACGCCAUCCACACACACACUGGUUGCUAAACACACUUUUUUACCCUCCAGGCGCACAGCCUGAGAUGGGGCCUGGGAAAAAAGGUGCUGUGGCUGGAGUCCUCCUCUGCUGGGGGGGGGGAGUGCAGGGGAGAAAUAAAAACAAGCGCUACCUGUUUGACGAGGCUGGUCUUCCAGCUGGGCCUCCAGGAUCUUCACCUUGGCAGGGGGCCCCUGGCAGUCCUGCCCUCCUGCCAGCUCCCUAAGACAGGGCGCUUUCCCACUCGCUGCCUCAGUUUCCCCAUCCGCCAAGUUGGGCGGGGAGGCACACCUCUGCUCUAUCCUCAAAAAGUUUUUGGACGCAGCCAGUGUUAUCAUGAGCUCAAGUGACACACGAGCUCUGAAGGUUUGAAAAUUUUGAAAAUGGGGAAGUUAAUGCAUGAAACCUGGAUAGGAUGGAUACUAACGUUUCCUAACACACGGAGUCGACUCAGACGGGAGGGGGAAACAUCCUAGCAGUGAGCACAGGUUUAUGGAAGCAGCCACACCUGCAUUCCAGCCCAAGCUCUGUGAUUGUCUUACUGUGUCACCCCAGGGAAGUGACUCAACCUCUCUGGGCCUCUAGUUCUUCAUGCAUGAAACCCACAGGUUGGUUCACAAGUUUCUCAAGUCUCUUGAGCAUACCCAAUGAUUUUGAGUGGUAACUGGGUCAAGGUGUUAUUUUUUAUUUUUUAUUUUUUUUUGUAGUUGUAGAUGGUCAGCAUGCCUUUAUUUUAUUUGGUUAUUUUUAUGCGGUGCUAAGGAUGGAACCCCGUGUCUCACACAGGGUGAGCCAGCACCGUGCCAACGAGCUACAGCCUCAGCCCCUAGAGAUGUUAUUCUAAUAGGUACUUCUUCGUACAGCUAAUUUCCAUUUGUGGCAAUCAGCUAGGUUUCCAGUUAGGGUAGGAGCAUAGAACUUUUUCACAUCAAUUUAUGUAAACAAAAAAGAGUGGGUUUCUCAAAAGAAAAAUAAGAAGCAAAUAUAAUACAGGUGGGGCAGGAGUCUAGAUGGGAGUUUGUAGAGUCUCACAUCCACUUUUUAAGGAAUUGUUCUCUCUCCUGGGGAUUCCCUGCACCUUGUAGCUGGUGGGGGAGGGGGAGGGGGAGGGGGAGGCCCGGCAGUGGGGUGGACCCACCCAUCCCUGCUCACCAGCACUAGAGGCCCCUCUUGCCCCACACCCACCCAUAGCUCUGGUUUGUGUCCAUCCUGGGGUCACGUGACCCAGCACCCUCCUUUCUGGCCGGGCACCUCUCUGCACCCGGGUUUCCUCAGGGGGAAGUGAGGAGAGGAGGCCUCUGGCAGGUCCGCGGGGGACCAACCAGUUAAGGAGACCUCACACAGAAGCAGGGAGCCUUGCGGUGGGUGGGGGUGCCACGGCACCCUAGGCCACAGGGAGGCUCGUCCAGCGGGCCAGACAGUGCAGGGCCACCAACCCCCCAGGACCCUGGUUUUGCGGGGAAGCAGCCGGGGGACACUGAGUCCCAGCCAGCAGGGCCAGUGCGGUUUCACUUUCUGCUGCGUCAUGGGGUGGGGGGUGGCAGAGGGGCCCAGCUGGCCAGCUGGGGCCGGUACAGAGGCCCAUGGACAGCUGCUGGCCCAGCUGCUGGCACACACCCCCUACCCCUGCCUUGCAGCCUCAGGGUGGGGGCUGGGCCAUCGCAGCCCCUUAACUGCCUUUCUGCCCACAUGCUGGAGAGCACCCCAGUUGAGAAAAGCCAGGACCAGGCAGGUGGUCCCUUGAGCGGGUGGGGACUCCCCAAACCUGUCUUUAGGCCAGGGCAGGCUUGAAACGCGAGGACUGUGGCUGUCGGUUCUGAGUCGGAUCCUUGGCUGCUGCCUCCUGCACGGGGCAGAUCUGUUAAAGGGCCUGCUGCUGCGUGUGGGCUCUGGGCCAGGUGCUGGAGGUGGGGCAGGGGUGUGACAUAGCCCCUGCCCUCCCAGGGCUCUCCCUGAAACCAGGGGAGGUGGCACGAGAGCAGGCCAAGUAAUGGACAGUCCCACGUCACGGGGAAGAUGUCACUCCGUGUCAGGCGUGUGUGCACCUCGGUAAGGUGUCAGCUCCCGGGACGCAGGGCCGGUCAAGAACGUAGCCCCCGGGAGCCAGCCGUCCCGUGUCUGAAUCUGAGCGUUGCUGCUGACCGGCUGUGUGGCCUCUGGUGAGGGACAUGUCUCUGUGCCUCGGUCUCUCUGUCUAGAAUAAUGAGGCACCCAGAGGGCCGCAGUGAGGAGGAAAUGAACCCACAUCUCUAUAAAGAACUAAGAAGGCACCUGCAGCGACUCUCGUGCUGGGUCUUAGCUGUCCCCUGAUAAUCAAGGUGAACUAUUAUUAUAAAAUGAACUGUGGUCACCACAGAGGCUGGGGACAUCAGGAAGGUUGCCAAGCCUGUUUCCCAAGCUGUCGGUAUGUCACACAGCGGGGUCCGUCCACAGCGUCUGCAGGACAGUUGGAAUCCCCAGGAGAACUGAAGGCCUGUUACAGAUUGUGCUGCCCAUUUUCUCUUGCUCCCAUGAGAAGGCCGCAGAGGGUGGAGCCCGUGUCUCCCUCAUGGCUCUGUCUCUGGGUCCUAGCAUGUAUCAGGUGCUCAGUUAAGAGCUGUGAGCCAAAGCCGGUGAAGGGGAGGCUACUCCCAAACCACCCUCCUUCAUCGACGCCUUCUUGGGAAGCAGGUUGCUGUUGCCGUCUCAGUUCUGGCCACCCCCGCUGGCUCCCAGACAGCCCUGGGAGUGCCGAGGCUCCCGUCUGUUAAGGUCUUCCCUGCCCGGGGCCUGUCCAGCACCUUGCAGUGGGUGACUGUCCCACAGGUGCUGGUGGGAGCUUGAAGGCAACACAAGUACUUAAGGGCACACAGGCCAGAGUCCCAGGGACUCGUUACUGGGGAAGAGGCUGGGUGCCCAGCAGACGAUCCUCAAGUCUUCAUUCUGAGCAGGUUCAAGACCCAGCUGGAGGUCAGGGGUCAGUUUCCUGGACUGUCUGUCAAAUGAGAGGGUUUAAGGUAAGGAUCCUUUUCCCUCUGAAAUUAAAAUUCACCCACACUCUCAAAACUCCAAAGUAUAAAUAUCACCAAGAAGCAAAGAACCAUCUCAAAAAUCUUUUGGAUAGUUAUAAUAAUAACAAACGUUCUCACAGGCGUGAUCCGUCACUUCAGAUGACAACUUAUGAAGUAAGUGUCACUCUUCGUUUCCUAAAUAACGUCAUCACCAUCAACGUGAGUUGUGUGCUUUGCAUGCACCAAGCACUUUACGUGUGUGAAGUCAUUGUAGUUUAACAGGGAUGGGAGGUACUAACACUGGCCUCUGCCUACCGAUAAGAGAAUGGGCUUGAAGAGAUGACCAGACUUGUCCAAGUUCACACCUGGCAUGGACAGCCUGGGGCUCCAGUCCAAAUCUCCCAUCUCAAGUGUCCAUGACAUUUUCUGAAAAUGUCCGUCUCGUAACUGUUGGAGGCUUUGCAGACUGCUGCAGCCGCUCAACUCUGCCACAGUAACUCAAGCAGAGCCACAGACAGUACAGAAAUGAAUGGCAGUGGCCCGGUGUUCCAAUAAAACUUUAUUUAUAAAAACAAGGAGUGGCCCGAAGGUGGCCCAUCUCCGUUCCACACUGACAGCCUGCCUUUCAGUAAGACCAAUGUGACUUGGCCCCUGCAAUGUUCUCUCCUCACCUGUGAGGUGACUCAGAGUCACAUUUCUGAGCAGAUGGCCCCUGUCUCUGGGGAGAUUGAGUUGACUCUAGCUCCCUCGGGGAAGUUCUAAGCUCUUAGAAGUCACACCUAUUAGGACUUACUAGUGACUAACUGCUCUCCUAGAACACCCUGGGGGACUUACUCCAGUUCCCGCAGUAAUUUUUAAAGAGAAAAGUAAGUGUCGUAGUUUAGAAUAAUACCACAGAGGGCACUUUGACUGUGGAAAGCCCUUUGAAUUGAGAAUGAAAAUGUUUUCAGGUACAGAGAGGUCUCCAGGCAGGGGACGUCAAGGGCACGUGCAUGCAGGGAGAAGGAGGGUCCUGGGGCUGGAGGAUGACUGUCAGGAGAGUCAGGGAACAGGGUGUCCCUUGUUGAUAGCUUUAUUGAGAUGUAAUUCCCGUAACAUCCAUUCACGUUUUAGAUAUACAGUUCGAUGGCUUUGGGCAUGCUCGAUCACGCAAGCCCUAUUACAGUGAAUUUUAGAACAUUAUCAUCAUCUCACAAAGAAAUCUGAGCCCUAUAGCAGUCCACCCCCAUCCCCCACAUCCCCCAGCACCCUUGACCCUGGGCAGUCACUAAUCUACUUUCAUUUCUAUAGAUUUGCCUUUUCUGGACAUUUCAUAUAAGUGGAAUCAUAUAAUAUGUGCUCCUUUGGGUCAGGCUCUCUUCUCAUGGCAUGACGGGUCUCAAAAGUUCAGCCAUGUUGUAGCACAUAUCAGAACUUCAUUCUUUUUUGUGGCUGAAUAAUAUUCUGUUGUAUGGACAUACUUGUCUCUCCAUUUGUCGAUUCAUAGACAUAAAGGUUGUUUCCACGUUGGGUGAUUAUAAAUAAUAUAACUCUGGACAUUUGUGUGUUGUGUGGGCACAAUCUUCAUUUCUCUGGGGCAUGGAGCUAGGGAGUGGACUUGCUGGGUCAUAGGGCAACCCUGUGUUUGACAUGUUGAGGAACUUUGGGACCAGGUCUUUUCAACUGUAUUAUGGAAAUUUCCCACCAUAUCUAAAAGUAGAGAAAAUGUUGUCCAAACCAUCAGGUUCCCAUCGUCCGGGGUGGGCGAUGGUCAUCCUUUUGCCUCGAGCGGGUCACUUGUGGAUGGAACAAGAAUCACCCUGAAUGAGGCAGGACCAGGUAUGUAAUUUGGGGGAACCCAGGGUGAAAUGAAUAUGCAGAGUUCUGGUUCAAACAUUAAGAAGUUCAAGGUGGCCGUAGUGGAGCGUUAAGCCAGGCUCGACCCUGUGACUGCAUGGGUUCCACGACCACCAAGCCAGCCCUGCCCCGAGGCCAGCCACAGGUGGAGCAGCCCUGAUUCAGCAGAUGCAGGAAUUUAGGCCCUCGGUGCCUGGGAGACAGAAACACCUCUCACCUCUAAUCCCAGGAAAGCUUCCAAGGACUGCUGGGUCCCCUAUGGCAUGUGGGACAAAAUUUAAGGCCAUUUCAUUUGAAUCUCCAAAAAUAAGAUGACCCCGGGUGACAUGUGGGUUCUAAGCACUUAAAAAAUAUAUAAAUAAAUAACCGUUUGUCCUAAGCCUUCUCCCCUAAGAGCUCACGGUUGUUUUAUUUGGCCACACCAUUUUGUCCUGGAUUCUGAGUGUCCUCUGAGACCCCAGCGGAUGACAGGGCUGCAGUAUGAAAAAUAGAGACCCGCUGAGCAGCAGGCGGUCCACAGGGGACCAGGGAUGCCCAACAGAAUCAGGUGGCCAUGACAGAUGCCGGCAGCCCAUCGUGACAGCUGAUCUGGCCAGCCUGAGACAGAGCCCGUUAUACUCCUCGGAGGACAGCCUCCACCAACCCAGUGAGCCUCACCUCCUGUGCCCACCUGGACCUCAGCCCCAGGAUUCACAAUGUCCUUCACCCAGAGAUUCAGAGCCCCCAAGUAUUGGGAUGACCCCCCAGGGUGCAUCACACCGGAAACCUUGGCGGGAAGGGGUGUACGGCUCACCUGGGAAGGGCGCCAGGAGGGAGGGAGACGGAACUCAAUGAGGCGAGAAGAGGAAGCCUCGCAGCUCCUCCGGUCUCUGCAGGGUCUCAUCCACCUGUUGAGCUCCAGGUGGACCCCGUGAGCCCUUUCGUCAUCUACAAGCCAGACACCGUCCCUGCCCGUCCCCCCACCCCAUUCUCCUGACAGGUGUGUAAUAAAAAGAAGUAUCAUUGAAUUAUACUGGUCCGACUCAGAGUGUAGAAGUGAUUUUUUUAGGCACCACUUUAUGUUUUUUUAAUUAUCCCCAAAUUUAAAAGUUACACCGCCCUAUGGUUAAGGGAAAUAGUACAAAAGAGAAUAACGUAGGAAAUAAAUAAAAAUAUGCAAUUUUUCUCUUAACUCCAACCUCAUUGAGAAGUAGCCACUGUGAGCAGUUUGUACAAUCUCCAUGCGUUUUGUAAGCAUGGUGCCAUUUUUUUUUUGCUCAUAAUGUGAAGAAGAUCCAGCAGGGUGCGGUGGGCUCAUGCCUGUAAUCCCAGCGGCUGGGAAGGCUGAGGCAGGAGGAUCAAAAGUUAGAGGCCAGCCUCAGCAACUUAGCAAGACCUUAAGCAACUCAGGGAGAACUUAUCUCAAAAUAAAACCAUUUUUAAAAGAGCUGGGGGUGUUGCUUAGUGGUUAAGGACCCCUGGGUUUAAUUCCUGGUACCAAAAAAAAAAAAAAAAAAAGAUCAAGGGUAUUUCAAAAUAAUCUGCAGACCACACAGCAUUCAGCCCCACCUCAUCCUUCUAACCGGGUCCAGCAUCCCACCACACUUGACCUGUCCCCUACUGGCUAACAUUUGUGUUCGCUCCAGGAUUUUGCUUUACUCACAUAGGAUAAAUUCCUAGAAGUGCAAUUUCUCACUCUGAGAAUAUGUGCAUUUGAAAUCUACACUAUUGCACAGUGCCUUUUAAAAACACAGUAGCAUUCUCGAGCCCCUGAACAAGUCACGUGGGGGGACCUGUUUCUGACACCCUCUCCUACCCCAGCAAGGAUGCCGUGUGGCGGGAAGCCAAAAAUUCCCAAAGAGGUAAGUUGAACUUUCUACUGCGGGCUGAGGUUGGGGGUGGACGUGGCCUCCGAGGUUGAUCCUGUAGCUUUCCUAGGAGAAGAGCCAUUCAGAGCGUUCGGUAGUUUUGGGUUUUAGAAACAAAGACAGGGUUUGGGGAGGUGAGCCAGAACUGUGCAGCAAGAAGCACUGUGAGAGCCAGUAUUUAUUUCUCCAGCACGGUUAGAAGUUAAAUAUGGUCAAAACAUAUUCUUCUUUUUAAUUUACACAAACAAAUAUGUUCCCAGGCUGACACCUCCGAUGCCAAGUUUCUAGGGGAAACGAAAUUCUGCUGUGAGAUUAUAAACCACUAGAGAGAGAGGGAUGGGAAUGGAAAAGCCAGGGCGCGUUGGCUGUCCACGCCCAGAACCCGGCCGGCCGCUGAGAGGUGUCUCUGUCUCGGUUGCAGAUGGACCUGCCAGAAAUCUCAGCCGAUGAACCGUGCGACGUGUCAAGGCCAGAGGACAGAAGAGACUCCAGUUCUGAUAAAAGGAGACCUGCUUGGCUUGGCAUCCGCUCUCCUGCCAAUCAGGAGGCUGCAACGCUGUUUCCAGAGCCGGCUGAUGAAUCAGGGGAGAGAGAGGCACAAGGACACCGGUUCCAGCCCCGGAGAUUCUGUCCUGUGAUUUAUGUGGACAGGGACAGGCAUCGGAAGGUUUUAUAAUUCCGCAUGAGACUCCAGUGUGCAGCCAGGAAGGAAACCGGCUGGAUGGGAGGAUCCGCACUGAGGAUGUUGGAAGGGGCUGCGUGGUCUCUUGGGGACCAGGAAGUGGGCUUUUCCCAGAGCAGCCUCGUGGGAGAACCGAGGCUCACGCCCACGGGAGACUUAAGGGCUUCCUCACACGCUCCCAGCUUGAUGGGAGACACAGUGGGGGGGCUUUGCUUUUAGACACCAGACUUGAUCACAUGUCAUGGAAGAAAGCAGAGGCACCUGAGAGAUCACAGAGAUGAGGUGAAGACCUGUGGCUUGAACUGAAGCUCUCAUGAGCCUUAUAGACAGGAACACGUGUUUGCUGGCUCCUUCCAUGGAGAAGUGAGACAGAGCGACUCAUUGUGUGUGCAGUGAGCACCCUGUCACCUGGGGUUAUGGUCUCUAAACACCACUGUCCAUUAGAAUUCAGGGCUCCGUGGAGAAGCAGCCAGUUCCCAGAUCUGCGGCAAGAGAUGUUGCAGGUGAACUGGGAACAUCUUGUCAUCGGGAAGCAAGGCAGCUGUCGACGACUACUGGGGUCAAAUCCACGAGGAUACAGGAGACCACACGAAGAGGCUUGGCCGAAAGGGACAGCUUGAACAUCAACAAGUGUAGUCACCGCACAGUGGUGCUGGGGGCUGACGUCAUGGAGAAAGCUAACCAGAGCUCGGGCUCUGAAUGAAUGGAAUCCCAAAUAACGACUAGGAAACAGAGAGAAAUCAAACAGGGGUCUAAGUGAGCUUCCAGCUCUACCAACUUAUAAGAAGCACAGGACAGAGAAGAACGUUUUUAAGAUCCUUCAGGGGGCGCACCAAGCAAAAUCCAGACCCCCAGAAGCUCCACAAAACCCUGUUGCUUCAACAAAUAAAUUACAAGAGAAGACAUAGAAAGGGGAAGAACCUAAAGAUUAAGAGAGACGAAGGACACACACCAGCCAAUGGGGACAGUUUCCAUGAAGACUUUGUUUCUCAAUAUCCUCCAAAUCUAUGAGCUCCAUUUGGAUCCCGAUUGGACCCAACUAUAUAGAAAACAUCGACAAGACAACUACAGAAAUUGGAAUCCUGAUCAGAUAUUUGCUGAUAUUAAAAACAUCACUGUCACGUGGGCACCGUGGCGCAUGCCUGUAAUCCCAGCAGCUCGGAGGCCGAGGCAGGAGGAUCAUGAGUUCAAAGCCAGCCUCAGCAACUUAGCUAAGUCCCUGAGCAACUUAGCCAGACCCUAUCUCAAAAUAAAAUAUAAAAAAGGGCUGGGGAUGUGGCGGCUCAGGGAUUAAGUGCCCCUGGGUUCAAUCCCCAGUACCAAAAAAAGAAAAAAAAAAUCACUGUUGGACUGGGGACACAGGUCAGUAAAAAGUCACUGUUUAUAGGCGUGGAGGAGGUAAGAAGAAAUUUUUCCUUGGGAGUCAUAUACAGAAAUAUUUGCAAAAGAAAUAACCAAUGUCAGGAAUUUGUUUCAAAAUAGUCUGGGAGGAGAGAAGGGGAGGAGGGGAAGGAGGUGUCCACGGCUGAGGGCUGGCGAUUGCCGUAGCUGGGCUCCUGACCACACACUCUGUCCCUCCCUGGGUGUGCAAGAAGCCUUUCAAAAUAAAAAGAAAAAAAAAUAAGGAAAACUAGCCUUUUCCUGCCCUUCUCUCAGAGGGAUCAGGUUGAUCGGCCACCCGGGGCCUGCAUCUCUGGGGCCAGCCUGGGCAGCAAAGCUCAGUAUAUACAACUUUAAGCAGCCCACCCCGUCUCCAUGGCAACCAGCAUCCAGAAGCCUCCCACCCCCAAGAGGGUCAGGCCAGGCUGCCAGGGUCACGCAGGACACAUGCGGCUGCUCCCUUUGGAGAGUCCCCUAGAUGGGUCUUCACAGAGGACGCCCCGACCAGAGCGGCCUCUCAGCACCCUGUCCCCCUAACUCUUGCUGCCUCUGUGCAGCCCCUGAAGGAAGAGAGGACAGUUAGUGGGAAGAAGAGACCCUGAAUCAGAUCCAGGUUCAAAUGCUGACCUUUAACCUCCUCGAGUCUCGGGUUCCUCAUCUGUAAAGUGGGUAUAACGGUCCCUCAACUAACUCAGCAGAUCUUUGCAAAGGGAGAUCCAUGGCAAAGGGAGGGGAGGAGGAUCUAGCUCUACCUGGUGGAAUCCAGCAGAUCCCCCAGAGUGAAGGGUGACCUCAUUACCACAUAAAAGUUAGGAUCAAAUUGAGAGGCAGGGGUAACCCUAUCGAAGGUCAGAUCCCAGAUUUUGAAUCAAACUGGCAGUCACCCCUUAGAGAGCCUAACUCCCGAGCCCACCUUCCAUGAGCCGAAGUCACCACCCUCCAGCUACUAAUCACCUCGCUACGGCAAACACUGGAAGAACUUUGCUUGGUGCUUCCAUUUCCAUGGGGCAGCGACCAUAGUCCCCAUCUCUGGAGGGAGCAGUGGGCUUGGAGAAGAGAGGUCACCCACACAGGCCACUCUGUUGGUACACGGCCCCUGUCUCUUAUGCUCUGGGGUCUGUGUCCUGAUUACGCUUUGAAGUUCAGUAACAGCAGAAAAUCAGUGCUACUAGGAAGCCAAAAGUCUCCCCAGACCCGGCUUCAUUUUGCAAAGGAACAAAGUGGCCCAGAGAGGCCAAGUCAUAUGUCUGAGGCCACACAGUGAAUGAGCAGCUAAGCCCAUGUCCAGGCUCCUUGGGGACAAGUGCAGGGAAGCCCUGAAGAGUGGGGGAAGCCAACUCUUUCUGCCCCAGAGUAGGGUGACCAGCUGUGCCAGUUUGCCUGGGACUGAUGAGCGUGGGACUGGGGACUUUCCAGGCUAAAUCAGGAAGGUCCUGGCCAUCGCCCCACCUGUGGGAUGCAACGGCCUCACUCACACUCCCUUCCACAGAGGGGAGGCAUCUAAAAGCAGGCAUGUCCGGAAACAAGGAUCUGGGAUGCAGCCAGCUAAGGAGAGCCAGGGAGACCUCACAGAGGGUUAGGGGCUCCAUGCUGCUGGUACCCUGCGAGCCGACCACCCACAUCAUGAGAGGCUUCAGCACCUUUCUUAGGUCCCCUCCCAUCUGUCCUGCCCCCAGUAGCCAGAGUGUCCUUUCUACAUUGCAAUCGGAUGACCCUCAGCCUCAGUUUACAAACCUUGGUGGCUCCCCAUUGAGAUUUUUCUAUUGCUUUGGAAGCUUUGCAGGCACAGGAACCCCUGGGUGGGCUUGUCCCUGACCACCUGUCCGAACCUCCCUCUGGAACCAACCUCACCCUUACAAGAUUCCAAGCAGGGUCAGGAUCACCUAAGACGCAUUAACUACACCCUCCCUCCCGACAGUCCCUCUCCCCAGGACUCCCCCCACCCACCCCCACCACUUUUCUUCCAAGAUACCAGUAUAACUGUAAUCACAGGUUGAUUUAUCUAAUCAACUAUUAAUAUCAAGUCUCCCCUUCUGGCCCGACCUCCACCUGAAAUCACAGAAGCCACUAGGACCCCCUGUUCUCAACUUCAGGAAGAUCUUCAUGAUGUCACAGGAUGGAAGAUCAUCCCCCCAAAUGACCAGUGGCAGCCUGGAUCAGGGGUAUUUUUUGUUGUUAAUUAGUGUCCCUCUUCUGCCCACUCCUUAGCUCUGUUCACAUCCCUAACCUGGCACUAGCUUAGGAAAAAAAAUCCAGGCAGAAAAUAGGAGCCCAAGUUCAAGUCAAGAUGGCUCGCCGGUUCCUGCUCUGCUGGUAAUUAACAUUGAAAAACAUUCAUUCCUUGUCUUGGCCACAAAGGUAAUAAUAUAAAUGCACAGCCUGAUUACUUGGCUGCUAAUUCCCAUCUUGAUGUUUUUCUUCCCCUUUCCUUAAAUUAAUUCCAGAGUUCUUCCAGAUUUCUCGUUGCUAAGCUAUAAAGUUCCAGGCUCUGCAGUGUGGCUGCUAAUUGGCCGAGAGUUCCUGGGCAGCUCCAAUCAGAACCAGGCUGUAGGAAGGAGUGUCCACAUCCCUGCUUCCCCUGGGGGGUUUCAGAAUGUUCUGGGUGAUGUCAUGAACCACACAAGUCUUUGUCUAACUCUGCAGAACCUGUUUUCUUGAGCCGGCUGAGGAGAGAUGCCACAGGUCCUGAAAUUCCCCUGGGAAUGGGGAGUCUCCAGGUCUUAACAGGGGUGAUCGGGACCUGUUUGUGGAUGACGGUUGGGACCUCCUACGGGGGCCAGGAGGGAUGCCUCAAUCUCCUCAGGACUGACCUGCCAUGUCCACUUCCCAAGCUGGCCAGUCUGAGGUGAAGGAAAACUUCACACCACUGAACUUGGAAUCGCUGGGGUGAAGGCUACAUUUAAAAAGGACCCUGAAGGUCCUGGGCUCUUGCCAUUGUCCUCCUAAAUAGCUGGGACUACAGGCUCUAAAGGACUUUAAAAUGUAGAUGGAGGACAAUUCAGGUGUGUCACCUCCAGAAUUUCAAUGAGAAACCACCACCAUAAACUGAAUCCCUACUGUGUGCCAGUAGGAGUAUUCUCAGCACUUCCCAUCCUGGAUCCCCAUGGGACAGAUGGGGACCAUGAUGCAGCGCGGCUGCCAUCUUUCAGGAAGAAGGAAGUCACAGGAACCAGACCUGGCCACACUGAUUGGCUCUUGGAUGAGCACAUGACCCAGGUGGGCCAAUGGGAAUUUUCCUUGAGACUUUUCUGCCCCAACUAUAGAAAAAGACCCCAGAUGGUUGUCUGUGCCCAGCUGAUGGCCACUGGGACAUGGAGAAGGUGCCUGUGAAGCCCUCAAAGACAUGGAACCCCUGGGGUAAUGCUUGAGCCCCAGCUGCAGCUGGAGGGAAGCCAGGUAUACUCCCUGGAUUGUGAGUGACAGAAACAGUAAAUUAUUUUUCUGCUUAA